AAAACAUUGUCUUUAGAUUUAUAAUUGAAGAUUCGCCCUGCCCAGUGAGUUUUUAACGGCUGCGGUAGCCUGACCGUACUAAGGUAGCGUAAUCAUUUGCCCUUUAAUUGUGGGCUGGUAUGAAUGGGUAAACGAGGGUAAUACUGUCUCUCUUUUGUUUCUAAAAAUUAGAUUUUAGGUGAAUAUGCCUAAAUAAUAGUAAAAGACAAGAAGACCCCGUAGAGCUUUUAACAGGUUUUUUAUAUAGAGAAUAUAAAAUUAUUGUUUUAGUUGGGGCGACAAAGGACUAUCCAAAGCGUCCUUUUUAAUGUAUAGAGUUUAACUCUUUUUUGAUCCGCUUUAAGCGAUUAAAAGAAGAAGCUACCUCGGGGAUAACAGGCUAAUCUACUUAAAGAGUUCACAUUGAUAAGUUAGGUUUGGCACCUCGAUGUUGGCUCAGGGUUUCCCACAGGUGCAGAAGUCUGUGAUGGUAGGUUUGUUCACCCUUUAAAACCCUACGUGAUCUGA
rnacentral:rRNA from 1 species